UGGGAUUCGAACUCCGGACGACCUAUUGUGCUACUGCACCAUAUGUCAGCGCAUUGACCACAAGGCUAUUGCGCUGACAAUAUUCUUUUAUUUCAAAAAAGAUUAAGUUCACUUUAAAUUCCUGAAUGAUGCACUUAUUUAACCGUUUAAAAGAAGUGUGGACUGUGCACUUGGGGCUGUCUUUGUUUGUUUGCAGAUUGGAGUGGAGCAGAAGAAGGAGACUCACAAGCGGAAUGGUGGAGAUAUACUGCAAGACCUGGAGCUCAGGAAGCAGGUUGGCAUGGAGCAUGUGGAGGAACAGGGAAACGCACCUUAGUGUUUCUUUUUCCUGUAAUGGACACACAACAGACAGAAGAAGGAGACUCACAAGAGCAUCGGUGGAGAUUUGUCUGAAAACCGCUGGUUAACAGUUUGUGCAUUUCUGGAGUUCAGCAAGCAUGUAGAGCUCUGUUAGUUGUGUCUUUAUCUUUUCCAGGCUGGAGUGCAGCAUGUGGAGACAAAUAGGAAUCACACACCUCAGCAAUGGACACUGAUGGUCAGGAAUAUCCUUUAAAGGCAGAUGAAUGGGUGCAUGGAUGGAUGUCCUUCCAAGUGGAAGGGGGUGGUGGUGGGCAUAGAUUGUUAGAUAUAUGUAUUGUCUGUGGCUAUUAUUUACAACUACAAAAGGCAGAAGAGUCAGACUCACAAGCAAAAUGGUUAAUACUUAUCUUAGGAACACUGAAGAACGUUUGGUUUAUUGAUGCAGAUCAUCCAGCAAGUAGAGCUUUGUUAGUCUUGUUUUUGUCUUUUGCAGAUUAGACUGGGGCCUGUGGAGAAACGGGACUCGCACCUCAGCAUGACUGGAAACUGAUGGUCUGGGCUGCGUUUCCCAAACAACGAAGUAACUCACGGCUAAACUAUAAAAGUCUGAUGCAUCGUUUGAGAAAAGAAUGAUGUAGUGACGAGUGUUUCCCAAAACCUGUAGUUUCUCUGUCGCAGCUCCAUCGCUUAAACCAGGUUAGUUAUAAUUAUGAUAAAAUGCCCGUAAUGAUGC